rnacentral:rRNA from 1 species
GACGAACGCUGGCGGCGUGCUUAACACAUGCAAGUCGAACGAAGUGGCGAACGGGUGAGUAACGCGUAAUCAACCUGCCCUUCAGAGGGGGACAACAGUUGGAAAAGACUGCUAAUACCGCAUACGGAAGGAGGGGAUUGCGGUUGAAUAGCGAGUUGGAGGGGUAACGGCCCACCAAGGCGAUGAUCAUUAGCCGUUCUGUGAGGAUGAACGGCCACAGUGGGACUGAGACACGGCCCAGACUCCUACGGGAGGCAGCAGUGGGGAAUCGUCCGCAAUGGACGAAAGUCUGACGUAGCAACGCCGCGUGAGUGAUGACGGCCUUCGGGUGGUAAAGCUCUGUUAAUCGGGACGCGGUACCGGAAUAGAAAGCCACGGCUAACUACGUGCCAGCAGCCGCGGUAAUAC